rnacentral:tRNA from 1 species
GCCUGGGUGGCUCAGUGGUUGAGCAUCUGCCUUUGGCUCAGGGUCUUGGGAUCGAGUCCCACAUCGGGCU